GACGUAGGGCGCGAGCGUUAGGCGGAAUCACUGGGCUUAAAGCGCGUGUAGGUGGCGGCCUAAGUACCUUGUGAAGUCCUGCGGCUCAACCGCAGAACUGCUUGGUAUACUGGGUCGCUUGAGACAUUCAGGGGCAACUGGAACAAGCGGUGGAGCGGUGAAAUGCGUAGAUAUCGCUUGGAACGCCAAAGGUGAAAACAGGUUGCUGGGGAUGUUCUGACACUGAGACGCGAAAGCCAGGGGAGCGAACGGG
rnacentral:rRNA from 1 species